rnacentral:rRNA from 1 species
UACGGGGGGAGCAAGCGUUGUUCGGAUUUACUGGGCGUAAAGGGCGCGUAGGCGGUCGUGACAAGUCACUUGUGAAAUCUCCGGGCUUAACUCGGAACGGUCAAGUGAUACUGUCGGACUAGAGUACAGAAGGGGGCAACUUGGAAUUCUCGGUGUAGCGGUGAAAUGCGUAGAUAUCGAGAGGAACACCUGCGGCGAAGGCGGGUUGCUGGGCUGAUACUGACGUGAGGCGCGGAAAGCCAGGGGAGCGAACGGG